AAAGGCCGUAUCCGCCAAUCGUCGCUGAUCGUAACCAUUCAAGUUAACGUGUCAAUUUACACCGACUUCUUUCCGUUCCUCUGCGGAUCGCCGGACUCCACAGCUGAUCACAAGAGUUCUAUUUUUCCGGACGCCGGAGCAUGGCGGAUAAAUUCAGCACAGAUUAACCCGUGCUGGAAAGGAAGUCGGGCACAGACACAAAAUAAAACAUCCGGCUUCUUUUCAAAAUAAAACACUCCGUGUUUCAGGAGGAUCAUAUUUCACACCAUGCAAAC